AAAGAUUCAAAAAGAACUGAAGCAGGACUGAACGAAGAUUUU
rnacentral:sRNA from 1 species